rnacentral:rRNA from 1 species
GAUCAUGGCUACAGAACGAACGCUGGCGGCAGGCUUAACACAUGCAAGUCGAACGCUCGUAGCAAUACGGGAGUGGCGGACGGGUGAGUAACGCGUGGGAACGUGCCCUGAGGUACGGAAUAACUGCGGGAAACUGCAGCUAAUACCGUAUGAGCCCCGUGAGGGGGAAAGAUUUAUCGCCUUAGGAGCGGCCCGCGUCGGAUUAGCUAGUUGGUGGGGUAACGGCUUACCAAGGCUUCGAUCCGUAGCUGGUCUGAGAGGACGAUCAGCCACACUGGGACUGAUACACGGCCCAGACUCCUACGGGAGGCAGCAGUGGGGAAUCUUGCGCAAUGGGGGCAACCCUGACGCAGCCAUGCCGCGUGAAUGAUGAAGGCCUUAGGGUUGUAAAGUUCUUUUGCCCGUGACGAUGAUGACGGUAACGGGAGAAUAAGCUCCGGCUAACUUCGUG